rnacentral:rRNA from 1 species
UACGGAGGGUGCGAGCGUUGUCCGGAAUCACUGGGCGUAAAGGGCGCGUAGGCGGCGCGGGCAGUCAACGGUGAAAGCUUGGGGCUCAACCCCGAGUCGGCCGUCGAUACUCCCGGGCUGGAGCACUGUAGAGGCAGGUGGAAUUCCGGGUGUAGCGGUGGAAUGCGUAGAGAUCCGGAAGAACACCGGUGGCGAAGGCGGCCAUCUGGACCGCAACUGACGCUGAGGCGCGAAAGCGUGGGGAGCAAACAGG